UAAUGGACACUUUCCCUUUAUUCGAAUGUGAUGUAUUAUGCUUCAAUAGUCACUGCCACGACCGAUUGUCGGCCGUUUUCGCCCAUCAUCGGCGACCGUCAUAGUCGUUGCUAGUAGGAGGUCCGAUCGGAGUGGCCAAUUCUUCGUGGGUUCGUCGUGGGUCGUGGCCUUCCCCAUGGAUCAUUUUCGCCAUCGCCGGUGGUGGGUCUCCUCUCCGCUGCUUCUUCUCCGGCCGCAAACCACGUCGUCAUAUGGUCGUCGACUCCUGUGCUUGCCAUGGUCGAUCGGUGGCUUAUAUUACUGUAACUGUCCCGCCUCAAUCUCGGCCAGGCUCUAUCCCUGCGUUAGCCUACAGCAACAUUAUUGCAGCUCUCAUGCUAAGAAUCUGCACACCCACCCAAAUCUCAUUCUCAUUUAUGACAGAUGACAUUCACGUUAAUGAGAGCUUCGUCGACACCAUGCCACUACUUGAAAACUUUCACCAGCGUCGGAUAUUUGGUCCCAUCACCUGCAAACACACGACGCAUGCAUGCAGGAGAACUCAUUCUCCUUCGAUAUGAACUUGCUCUUUUCAGAAUCAAGAUAUGUUAUUCUCUCUAACUCACUGAAAUUUUUUCACUUUUUAUUUUUUUAUUCACUCAAGCGUUAGAGUGCUUGCAGGUGCCAUCCACCUCCCGGACCGAUCGCUAGGGGCCAUCCCUCGCUAUUGCAGGUUCGCCUCCGACCGUCCCUUUUGUCAGGAAAGAACAAAUAUAACAACAACAACCAUAAGUUUUAAUUUCACUAGAUGAGGUGUUUCAUUUUCUAUGUUUUAAGAGCUAACUAGCAGGUAACCUUCACCCUCCCCCCACCCCUAUAAAAUAGGGGGGAAAAAGAAUAAAAAGAAGGAUUCCUGUAAAUCAUGACAACACCUGUCUAAGAUGAUGUUGAAGGAACAACUUUAGACAAGAUGUUAAAUGUUAUAAGCAUACUCUUU